UUUUGGCCUGUUUACACGAUUCAAGUUUUACGUUCAAGAAGCGUUCAAGAUUGAUUGAUAUUGAUGGAAAUCUGUUUUCAUCGAUGUUGUACCGUGUAAACGAUUCGUUCAAGAUCUUGGAUCCACUUCUUGAAUGUAGUAGCGCAUGUUCUACAAGACAUUCAAUUUUUUCUUCUCCCAGCCAAUCAUCUUUUAGAAUUUUGUGAUGUCAUAGGAAAACGUCAUGAAUAGCGGGAGGUAUUUGAUUUUUACGCAUUCGCCGUUUUUUUUACUUUCUACGGGUCCUGUUCAAUCGUUUUAAAAAAUUUUCAUCUGGUGUGUGCUUUUUCAUAUUUAUAGAAUGGAGUGGACUCAGGAUCAAGUUUUUAAAUUAAUAGAAGAAUACCGGGAAAGACCCCAAUUAUGGAAUAGCAAAUUCCCGGAGUAUUCUGAUAAAAAUCUGCGCCAAAGGCAUCUAGAAGAGUUGUCUUUCCUAUUCGAAACUGAUAUAGAGACCAUAAGAAAUAAAAUUUAUGGGUUGAGAACUCAGUAUCUUAGUGAACAGAAAAAGGUGUUAGAUUCUCUAACAAGUGGAAGUGGUAAUAAGUUGAAUACUUUAAUAAUAAGAACUUAUAAUUUUUGCAUAAAUUUUUAAUUCCGU
rnacentral:lncRNA from 1 species